ACUGAGACACGGNCCAAAUUCCUACNGGAGGCAGCAGUAGGGAANUUUCGGCAAUGGAGGAAACUCUGACCGAGCAACGCCGCGUGAACGAUGAAGUAUUUCGGUACGUAAAGUUCNUUUAUUAGGGAAGAAUAAAUGAUGGAAAAAUCAUUCUGACGGUACCUAAUGAAUAAGCCCCGGCUAACUAUGUGCCAGCAGCCGCGGUAAUACAUAGGGGGCAAGCGUUAUCCGGAAUUAUUGGGCGUAAAGGGUGCGUAGGCGGUUAAAUAAGUUUAUGGUCUAAGUGCAAUGCUCAACAUUGUGAUGCUAUAAAAACUGUUUAGCUAGAGUAAGAUAGAGGCAAGUGGAAUUCCAUGUGUAGUGGUAAAAUGCGUAAAUAUAUGGAGGAACACCAGUAGCGAAGGCGGCUUGCUGGGUCUUUACUGACGCUGAGGCACGAAAGCGUGGGGAGCAAACAGGAUUAGAUACCCUGGUAGUCCACGCCGUAAACGAUGAGUACUAAACGUUGGGUAAAACCAGUGUUGAAGUUAACACAUUAAGUACUCCGCCUGAGUAGUACGUACGCAAGUAUGAAACUUAAAGGAAUUGACGGGACUCCGCACAAGCGGUGGAUCAUGUUGUUUAAUUCGAAGGUACCCGAAAAACCUCACCAGGUCUUGACAUGCUUCUGCAAAGCUGUAGAAACACAGUGGAGGUUAUCAGUUGCACAGGUGGUGCAUGGUUGUCGUCAGCUCGUGUCGUGAGAUGUUGGGUUAAGUCCCGCAACGAGCGCAACCCUUAUUGUUAGUUACCAGCACGUAAUGGUGGGGACUUUAGCAAGACUGCCAGUGAUAAAUUGGAGGAAGGUGGGGACGACGUCAAAUCAUCAUGCCCCUUAUGACCUGGGCUACAAACGUGAUACAAUGGCUGUUACAAAGGGUAGCUGAAGCGCAAGUUUUUGGCGAAUCUCAAAAAAACAGUCUCAGUUCG
rnacentral:rRNA from 2 species